GACGAACGCUGGCGGCGUGCUUAACACAUGCAAGUCGAACGGAAAGGCCCGGCGCUUGUGGGGUGCUCGAGUGGCGAACGGGGGAGUAAAACGUGAGUAACCUGCCCUUGACUGUGGGAUAACUUCAGGAAACUGGGGCUAAUACCGGAGAGGAGCUCCUGCAGCAUGGGGGGGGAUGGAGAGAUUCGGCCGUUGGGGAUGGAAUCGCGGCUUAUCAGCUUGUUGGUGGGGUAGGGGAUUACCAAGGCUUUGACGGGUAGGCCGCCUGAGGGGGUGACCGGCCACCUUGCGCCUGCGGUACGGCCCAGACUCCAACGGGAGGCAGUAGUCGGGAACCUUGCGCAAUGGGCCGAAGCCUGAUGCGGCAAUGCCGCGUGCGGAAUGCCGGCUUUCGGGUUGUAAACCGCUUUCGCCUGUGACGAAGCGUGAGUGACGGUACUGGGUAAAGAAGCCCCGGCUAACUACGUG
rnacentral:rRNA from 1 species